rnacentral:rRNA from 1 species
UACGUAGGGUGCGAGCGUUGUCCGGAAUUACUGGGCGUAAAGAGCUCGUAGGUGGUUUGUCGCGUUGUCCGUGAAAACUCACAGCUCAACUGUGGGCGUGCGGGCGAUACGGGCAGACUGGAGUACUGUAGGGGAGACUGGAAUUCCUGGUGUAGCGGUGGAAUGCGCAGAUAUCAGGAGGAACACCGGUGGCGAAGGCGGGUCUCUGGGCAGUAACUGACGCUGAGGAGCGAAAGCGUGGGGAGCGAACAGGA